CAGCAGCCGCGGUAAUACGAAGGGUGCAAGCGUUAAUCGGAAUUACUGGGCGUAAAGCGUGCGUAGGCGAUUUGUUAAGUCUGCUGUGAAAUCCCCGGGCUCAACCUGGGAAUGGCAGUGGAUACUGGCAAGCUAGAGUGUGUCAGAGGAUGGUGGAAUUCCCGGUGUAGCGGUGAAAUGCGUAGAGAUCGGGAGGAACAUCAGUGGCGAAGGCGGCCAUCUGGGACAACACUGACGCUGAGGCACGAAAGCGUGGGGAGCAAACAGGAUUAGAUACCCCCGUAGUCCCUGUCUCUUAUAC
rnacentral:rRNA from 1 species